AAAAAAUAUUGCCAUGACGGUCGCGAGGUACGGGAUUAGUAUCACUGAGUAAUGUUUGAAAAAGAGAUUCUGUUCAUUAAUGUGAAAAAAUGACGAGGUGUUGUAAAUUUUUUGGCAUUACGUGGUUGUUGAGUCAAUCCGCUACGAAAUGUCAACAAAAUUUCGUGAAUCUAUGUAACGCGUGUUCACUACAUCGUAGUUAUAUUAACCUAAAACUUGAUCCGAAAUUUUUUUUUUUUCUUCCUCGAAAAGCGCACGUUCAUUUAUCAAUUUUUGUUUUUCCUUAGAAACCAAAAGGAAUCAAUUACAAUCAUAUUUACAGAAAAUAGCAUACCAUUGAAAUAUUUCUUUGAGCAAUUUCUUUUUCUUGAGCAAUUGCUUGUUUGUCUUCAGCUAAACGUUUCCGUGCUUCUUGUCUUUCCAGUGCCAUUUGUUUAAUAGAUAACGAUAAAUCAUUUUCAACGCGCCGUCUCUCUUCCUAAAUUGCUGACUAUUUUCAUCAGUUUAAACAUAGUAAUAGUUUUACAUGAAUACGCAUGAUUUCUAAGCGUUUUUCAGAUAAAAAAGACUCGUAAAGUCUUUUUCUUUCUUCUUGAUACUCUUUUUUCUCUUCCAACAAGAGAAAUCGUUGAUGAUUUAGUUCACUUUCCGUAGUUUUUAACCAGUCAAAAAAGAUACGUCGCAUAUCUCCUACCAUCAUGUCAAAUGAGUCUUGCGUGUCUAAAAGUGACUUGACGCAAUUUCCUUCGACAGGCACUUUUUCAUUCGUUUCAUUUGGUGACUCGUUUACUUUGAAAGUCAUGAGUAGAAAGACAAUGUACGUGUACUUUUGGAUAUAAUUGUCUGUAUAAUUUUAAAUAAGACACUUUGCAAAAGCAAUGUCGAAUAAGCUGAAAGUACAGAUUCAUUU